AUCCAGUUGAAGAAUCCCAAAUAGGAUGAAACGCGCAUCCUGGAU
rnacentral:hammerhead_ribozyme from 1 species